rnacentral:rRNA from 1 species
AUUGAACGCUGGCGGCAGGCCUAACACAUGCAAGUCGAGCGGAGCGGCGGACGGGUGAGUAAUGCCUAGGAAUCUUCCUGGUAGUGGGGGAUAACGUCCGGAAACGGGCGCUAAUACCGCAUACUAUCAGAUGAUCCUAGGUCGGAUUAGCUAGUUGGUGGGGUAAAGGCCUACAAAGGCGACGAUCCGUAACUGGUCUGAGAGGAUGAUCAGUCAAACUGGAAGUGAGACACGGUACAGACUCUUACGGGAGGCAGCAGUGGGGAAUAUUGGACAAUGGGCGAAAGCCAGAUCCAGCCAUGCCGCGGGUGUGAAGAAGGUCUUCGGAUUGUAAAGCACUUUAAGUUGGGAGGCGUUACCAACAGAAUAAGCACCGGCUAACUUCGUGACAGCAGCCGCGGUAAUAC